rnacentral:rRNA from 1 species
CCUCAAACAUGCAAGUCUAGGGGGUGUAGCAAUACAUCACCGGCGGACGGGUGCGUAACACGUGGGAAUAUACCUUUUGGUUCGGAACAACGCAGGGAAACUUGCGCUAAUACCGAAUGUGCCCUUACGGGGAAAGAUUUAUCGCCAAGGGAUUAGCCCGCGUCCGAUUAGCUAGUUGGUGAGGUAAUGGCUCACCAAGGCUCCGAUCGGUAGCUGUUCUGAGAGGAAGAUCAGCCACACUGGGACUGAGACACGGCCCAGACUCCUACGGGAGGCAGCAGUUGGGAAUCUUGGACAAUGGGGGAAACCCUGAUCCAGCCAUGCCGCGUGAGUGAUGAAGGCCUUCGGGUUGUAAAACUCUUUCGACGGGGACGAUAAUGACGGUACCCGUAGAAGAAGCUCCGGCU